rnacentral:lncRNA from 1 species
UAAUUUUUUAAGGAUGAUUUGAAAGGAGGAUUUACUUCUAGAUGUUAAAUAAGUUUCCCUACAAGAUGUACACAUGGAAGAAACAGCCACCGGGGAUGAACAACUUCUCAAGGGAAGCAAAGAGAAACAGAGCAACAGCCCGACUGGAACAUGUGCUGCGAAAAUGAAGGAAGAUCUGACUGCAGCUUCUGGAGCUCUUGCAGGGAGUGGGGAGAAACCUAGCAGCUGUUGCUUCAAUAACAAGCAACUGCUGGAUUAUUACAACUACUCCUUCCAAUUUGGUCCU